rnacentral:misc_RNA from 1 species
GAAAAAAAAAAAAUAAAAGCGCCUAGCAUCAACUUUUUUGCUACAAUGAUGUACGGAACUUUCGGUCUUUCAGCAAACACCUAAAGGUAAUACAAAUGAACUCCAACUUUAGCAAGACAAUAUAUAAAUGGUACAUUACAAUUCAAGGUGAUCAAAGAGAAGUGCUCGGUAAAGAACCCAUUAAAAUAACAGUGUCACUGUCCUGGUAAUCCUUCAUCAUUUCUGGCUUUGCCCUUGAAAAUAGUCCAGAAAGCAAUCCCAUAGGCAAAACAGAGCCCGAUUUCCUUCCCAACAAAUCACUAGCCUUACGGCUCAGCUUAUUAGUGGCCCCCAUGGUCUUCUCCUCUCCAGUAAGUACUCCACAAGAGCAGUUUGUGAGCCUUCCGAAGCAAGUCUUAUGGAAUACAGACUCGCAAGAUGUACACCUUUCAAUCUCAUCGUCCUGAAAAGGGAAAAUGAGUGAAGAUGGAUUAUCACAAGCUUGUCGGGCACUGCAGGGAACUCCCACAUCACAGCAGAUGAGGCAGCGGUCCGUUAUAUGCUCCAAAAUUUUUCUUGAGACAGUCUCCACCAUCACGGGUAAUGCUGCAAUUCAAGCAGAGACAAAGAAAAGAAGUUAUAUACAUACAAAAGGUCAUCAAUAUUCACAUGCAACUUCUAAGGUAUAAUGUUGAUUCAUCUGAUAAUAAGUAAAACACAGAACUCAUUAAAGAAGAAACGAAAAGAAUGAAAGUUUGUCUUGGGAGAAAUUAAGUCCAACUAUGCAUAUUACAUGUACAAGCUUGGCACGUAGCACUUUCAAUACCAUAGAUCAAUAACACGCAACCACCUGUCAAACUUUGAUGCAAGAAACAUUUAAGGUCUGUUGGUGAAAUAUUCAAAUGCAUCCAAAUGUACAUAUAUGCAAAAAAUGUCAAUGUACAGCACAUAUUCAAGGAUGCUGUGUGUGUGUGUGUGCGAGUAAGGGCAUGGAGAAAAAGAUUCAACAGGAGGGAAUGAGCUCAAUGAAACGAGAAACCCACAACACCACCCCACACCGCCCCCCCCAAAAAAAAGCAAAACCUGGGGCCCCGUCCACCCAACUACCUGUUAGAUUGUGAAUAGAUAUUAACCUGCAAAAGCCCCUUUUGAGAGAUCAAUGAGGUCUCUAAGUGCGAAAAAAUCAUUGCUUUCAAGAAGAUAUCUACGAGAUCCAAGUCCUCUGUUGAUGGUCCUGCGGAAUGGGCAGCGAACAUAUGGAAGCAUAGUUCCUAUUUUUUUCCUCACACCCAUAAUAUGGUGCAGAGCUGGGACCUUUGAGAAUAGGAAAGGAUUAACUGCACUCACACAAAGCAUGGGCUGCAAAACAAAAGUACAUCUCACAUGACCCAGAUAAAAACCAAGUUUGAAUUGUAACCUUAACAAGAAUCUAAAAUAUGCAAACCAGUUCAUCAUCAAUAACAAGUGCUUGGUGCAAUCCACUUAAUAUUCCUACCAUACCACAUUUUUAACUUGAAAAAUUCCUUCCAUAAUUCUCCAUAAUCCAUAUUCACUUAAUUUUGUCAAAACGUGUCAGUUAUCAGAUUACCUGCUCAUGUAUGGAAUCCAAGUAUGACUUAGCCAAUUGAGAGACUGGAUAUUGAGUAAAAUCCCAAUAAUGUAGAACUCUUGCUGGCAAAACUGCAGUUUCAUUUGUAUGGCAUGAAGAACAAAACAAUUGACCAGUGUAUUCACAAAUUUGAGGCUUUCCCCAUCCAAGUGCUUGCACAAAGUCUCGCACUAGUGUCAUUCCAUCAUCAAAAUGUUUGUGGCAUCCAGCACAAGUAUAAUGUUGUGCUUCUAGCAAUUGUUUCAUAGAUUUGUAUGGCUUAAUUUCAACAAUAAGUGAUAUUGUCUUCCCUAAAGAGGAGAUGUUCCCUGGUUCUGCUUCUCUGUUAGAGAAUGAAGACCAAGGCACUGGCUUUUGUGAUGUAGGGGAACUAGGAACUGGAUCUUGAGGACUCAAAAACCAAAACAAUGCACUUGGGGGACUGGAAAAAUAACCAGAAUGAAUAAUUGAAUGCAAGCACUCUUGAAUCAGUACACUUCUCUCAGAAACAACAUCUGGAGAUGCAUUCCCAAAUAUUUUUCGAGAUUCCUUUUCCACAGAGGACCAGGGAAGAGGAAGUGUCCAGCCCUGGUCAGUGAAUAAUGAUUUCAGCCGACGAUAGAGUGUGAAGAAAUCGCGAUAUCUGCGUUCAACCUCCCACUGAUCCUGGCCACUCCACACUCUUAUUCUAUAUACAGUAUAUCCUUUCACCCCAACCAAUCUUUCACUAAGAGAGACAUCUCCUUUCUUCUGCUUGGCACCAACAACUUCAAUCCCAUCAAUUCUCAGUGGCUGUGUGAUUAGUGGGAAGGAAUCAUCCGGACCUGAAGUGGAAGCAGUCAACCCACCGUCCCUUAGAGGCAAAGAUAGCUGUGAUUGUGACAUGCGAUUGCGCUGAGGGAACCUAGCCCCUGGAGACUCACUAGAGUCAAGUAAAAUUUCUUCCAUUUCAUUGACAAUUUCAUCAUAAAUUUCAUUAAGCUCAACUUUGUCUGCCUUAACUGGUGCAGGAUCAUCUUCAAAAAGAUCUACAGAAGAGUUAUUCAAUGUUUCACCCCUGUUAGUCUCAAGCAACAAUGGUGUUGAAUUUAGUUUAUGGUCUUCAAUGAACUCCACACUUUCAUUUUCAAAAUGUUCAGUUGGAUGGGAAUAAAGUUGAUUAGUUGCAUUAGAAAGGGGAUCCACUUUCACAUUUAAAUUCCCAAUCUCUUGAUUAUCUAAAACUUUGCUGUCAUCAACACGAAUGAUCUCAGAUUUCAAGCACAGACACUUCCCUUGCAUGCUGCAAUCUGUCAUAUUUGAUCCUAACUCUCUGGGAUUUUUUUCUACAAAAGGAUCCUGCUUCAUAUCAAAGAUGCCACUCUUAAAAAGAUUUGUUGUAUCAUUAGCACCUUGGACUAGUUUGAAGGUAUCAGAAAUGCCUCUUACAUUUUCUUCCUGUAACUUGCAAGAACUUGGUAAAUGAGAUGUUGCAAUUGAGGCACUUGUGUAAUCUUUGGCUAAUUCACAAGUUCCUUGGACUUUACAAAUAGACACAGGAAUGUCUCUUGCUACUUCCGCCUGCAUCUGGCCACAAUUCUGAGAACCAAUAGGUACUGCAGAAAAAGUAUUGAAAUCUUCUAUUAAUUCAUUUUCUUCAACCUGUCUGAUGCUAGAAGAUUCCGUACUCACAUCUUUCCCUCUCUCAGUAAGACCAAUAACUGGUACAUAUAUUGAGGCUGUGGACUUGGAAUUAAAAAGGUUUCUUUCAGUUACAAAAUCCUGUUUUUUCUGCUCCUGAAAGUUAUCCAAAGUCAGAGAUGUGAGAUUGCCUCCCCCUGUUUCUUGCUCAAAAUCAUCCCAAUCCUCUGAACCAAAUGCUACUGAUGAAUUGAUAAGCAGCGGAUUCUCAUUCUCAACAUUUUCAUUCUUGCUAUAUUGUAUGCUGCUCUGAGUAUACAAAUUCUUCCUAUUUUCAUCAUCUGAACCACAGCCAUACAUUGAAUCGUCUUCAGAAUGUUCAUAUCUAGAUGAGAUCUCAUCUUCCUCCCCCUCCUCCUCCCUUCCAUCAAACUCCAAACCCAACUCUGAAUCCAACCUGCAGAAGCGACCAUCAUUCCCUUCACUAAUAGCUAGACCCAAAGACCCUUCUCCAACAUCUGACGCAAAAUUCAAUUCAUCUCCAACUCUACCACCAAUGGAGCCCCUCUCACUGGUUCUCCCAUUAACAAAUUCUUGCCUACUAUCCAAGUCAUUAUCGAUUCCACAACUUUCCCCACAAUUCCCUUCGGCACAAUACAAUUCCAAUUCACUAAUUCCAUUGUUUGCGAUCCCCUCUUUCACACUCCCUUUCAAAAGAUCAAAACCGGAACCAGAAAGCUUCCGCUCCUCCAAAUUCCUAUCAAACCUCCCUCCCAAACUAAAAUUUUCCAAACCACCAUCCAAACUCCUCAAGGACCCGAACUCAGACUCUAUAGAAUCGUUAAGAGGUCCAAACGAGCUACAAAAACUAGGCGUACCCAUGACAGAGCUCGCACUACAAUACCGCUCGAACUCCGACUCUCCUCCGCAUGAGGAGUAUCGCGACAGCGAUUCAGGGGAUACAUCGCCGCCGCCGGACAACUUCGGCAGGAACGAAUCGAACGGAUCAGGAGAGGCAGGCCCGGAGACGUCCUCGCGAGGUCCCUCUCCAUCGAUCAUCUGGUUCUUGUUAUUGUCGAAAUUUUGGCAAAAUCUAUGAAAGCGAAUUAAAGAAAGAAACUUUGAACAAACUCAGAAUCACAAAAUCAAUCGGUAUAGCAACUCACCUGAUAAAUAUUGCAGUGAGAAUCGGAUUGAAUAAGUAAGGGAAACGAAGUUUGGAGUUGCAGG